UGGGGAAUUUUGCGCAAUGGGCUAACGCCUGACGCAGCAACGCCGCGUGGAGGAUGAAGGUCUUUGGAUUGUAAACUCCUGUCAGCAGGGAACAAGCAACUUGACCUAAUACGUCAGGGAGUUGAUUGUACCUGCAGAGGAAGCCCCGGCUAACUCGGUGCCAGCAGCCGCGGUAAUACAGAGGGGGCAAGCGUUAUUCGGAAUUAUUGGGCGUAAAGGGCGCGUAGGCGGCUUUGCAAGUGACGGGUGAAAGCCCUCGGCUUAACCGAGGAACUGCCUGUCAGACUGUGAGGCUUGAGACCGGGAGAGGUGAGUGGAAUUCCCAGUGUAGCGGUGAAAUGCGUAGAUAUUGGGAGGAACACCAGUGGCGAAGGCGGCUCACUGGACCGGAACUGACGCUGAGGCGCGAAAGCGUGGGGAGCAAA
rnacentral:rRNA from 1 species